rnacentral:rRNA from 1 species
AAUGAACGUUGGCGGCGUGGAUUAGGCAUGCAAGUCGAGCGGUAAGGCUCCUUCGGGAGUACACGAGCGGCGAAAGGGAGAGUAACGCGUGGAUUAUCUACCCUGGGGUCCGGAAUAGCUGCGGGAAACUGCAGGUAAUGCCGGAUAAUAUCUACGGAUCAAAGGUGUGAUUCCGCCCUUGGAGGAGUCCGCGUCCUAUUAGCUUGUUGGUGGGGUAAUGGCCUACCAAGGCGACGAUGGGUACCGGGUGUGAGGGCAUGACCCGGCUCACUGGGACUGCGACACUGCCCAGACACCUACGGGUGGCUGCAGGCGAGAAUCUUCGGCAAUGGGCGCAAGCCUGACCGAGCGACGCCGCGUGUGGGAUGAAGGCCUUCGGGUUGUAAACCACUGUCGUAGAGGAGGAAAUGCAUUGGGGUUCUCCCCAGUGUUUGACCUAUUCUAGGAGGAAGGACGGGCUAAGUUCGUGCCAGCAGCCGCCGUAA